rnacentral:lncRNA from 10 species
GUAAAUUCUAAACCUAGGACUCAACAGUCGUUCCCUGUUUCCUCUAUCUUGAAACUCUGCCACCCUGAGGACAAGCCCAGGCUAGCCUGCUGGAGGGUGAUUGAUUAUAUAAAGGAAACUCAGUAUAGCAGAGCCGACAUCCUGAAGACUUCUGUGGGAGCAGAUGCCUAGCUGAAACACAGCUGACAAGAGAGUCAUGAAAAAGUCAAAAGGAUCACCUGCUAAGUCCAUUUUAAAAUCAUGAUCUACAGAAAGAGACAGGGUCUUGCUCCAUCACCCAGGCUGGAGUUCAGUGGCAUAUUCACAGCUCACUGCAGCUUUCACCUUCCAGGUUCAAGUUGUCUUCCCACCUCAGACUCCCAAGUAGCUGGGACCACAGGAGGAAAUCUCUUCACUGCUGGCACUGACAAUGGAAGACUGAGGGUGCCCGGGAUCCUUCACCCCCACAUCCAGUGAGUCCACGGAACCCAGGGUAACUGGGAUGGUAUCUGGUAAGAUUAUUUCCUUCUUUUUGGAUACUGGGGCGAGUCUAUCAGUAUUAACUGAAAAUCAAGGCCCAUUAGGACAUUCAUCUGUUUCUGUUGUUGGCAUGAAGGACAUACAAGUAACCCCAUACAAAACACCACCACUAUACUGCUCAUUUGAGGUAGUCACCUUCACUCACUCUUGGUCAUUCCCCAUUGUCCCACUCCUUUACUAGGAAGGAACAUCCUACACAAACUAGGGGGAAUCAUUUAUUUAUUAGCCCUACAUCAAAGCCACCCUUACUUAUUAUUAUGUCAAGAACAAAACCCCUCCUCAGACACUCC